ensembl:miRNA
GAGCAGCUGGGAGUUUGGGGCUGGGUCUUUGCGGGCGAGAUGAGAAGUUUCUGCCUUCAACUGGCCUACAAAGUCCCAGUUCUCGGCUCUUAACUUUGC